rnacentral:RNase_P_RNA from 1 species
GCGAGCGGCCGGACGGUCGCGGUGAGCCGCCGUGAGGCGGUGCACCGAGGAAAGUCCGGGCUCCCUGGACAGACUGCCAGGUAACGCCUGGGCACGCACGUCGUGAGGCGUGUGUGACGGACAGUGCCACAGAAAACAGACCGCCCUCCGGCGAAAGCCGGUGGGCAAGGGUGAAAAGGUGGAGUAAGAGCCCACCGCGCCGCCGGUAACGGCGACGGCAUGGUAAACCCCAGUCGGAGCAAGGCCAAAUAGGCGGCGAGAGGCAGUCCUCCUCGAUCAAGACGCCGCGGGUCGGCUGCUAGAGGGUGCGGGUGACCGCACUCCGAGAGGAAUGACCGUCCGGGCAACUCAUCGCCCGACAGAACCCGGCUUACAGGCCGCUCGCGUGC